GCGGAGACAGCUCAGUGGUUAGAGCGCUGGCCACUGUUCCUGGGAACCUGGGUUGGAUUCCCAGUACCCACA
rnacentral:tRNA from 1 species